rnacentral:rRNA from 1 species
UAUUGGACAAUGGGGGGAACCCUGAUCCAGCGACGCCGCGUGAGUGAAGAAGUAUUUCGGUAUGUAAAGCUCUAUCAGCAGGGAAGAAAGAAAUGACGGUACCUGACUAAGAAGCCCCGUCUAACUACGUGCCAGCAGCCGCGGUAAUCCGUAGGGGGCAAUCGUUAUCCGGAUUUACUGGGUGGAAAGGGAGCGCAGACGGCGAUGCAAAGCUGAAGUGAAAGGCGGGGGCCCAACCCCCGGACUGCUUUGGAAACUGUAUGGCUGGAGUGCAGGAGAGGUAAGUGGAAUUCCUAGUGUAGCGGUGAAAUGCGUAGAUAUUAGGAGGAACACCAGUGGCGAAGGCGGCUUACUGGACUGUAACUGACGUUGAGGCUCGAAAGCGUGGGGAGCAAACAGG